GCAGAAACACGGAAGAGGAGUAUUAAGAGCCUAUCGUUUUCAGAGAGCUGCCGGAGGGUGCAAGGCAGAAACGUAAUCUCCCAACUGGCCUCGGAGUUCUCUUAUUGAAAUGACAGUAGGUAAGAGCGGGUCUUCCCGUUACAGAAGCAACGAGUGCAUUCGGCGAUGCCGGGUGAAUGAGAGUGGUACCACGGAAAACAAAGCCUUUUCGUCUCUUGG
rnacentral:ncRNA from 1 species